rfam:Dipodomys ordii contig_7526, whole genome shotgun sequence.
GGGAAUGUGGCUUAGUGGUAGAGUGCUUGCCUAGCAUGCAGGAAGCUGUGGGUUCGAUUCCUCAGUACCA